rnacentral:rRNA from 1 species
AUUGAACGCUGGCGGCAGGCCUAACACAUGCAAGUCGGACGGUAGCACAGAGGAGCUUGCUCCUCGGGUGACGAGUGGCGGACGGGUGAGUAAUGUCUGGGGAUCUGCCCGAUAGAGGGGGAUAACCACUGGAAACGGUGGCUAAUACCGCAUAACGUCGCAAGACCAAAGAGGGGGACCUUCGGGCCUCUCACUAUCGGAUGAACCCAGAUGGGAUUAGCUAGUAGGCGGGGUAAUGGCCCACCUAGGCGACGAUCCCUAGCUGGUCUGAGAGGAUGAACAGCCACACUGGAACUGAGACACGGUCCAGACUCCUACGGGAGGCAGCAGUGGGGAAUAUUGCAGAAUGGGCGCAAGCCUGAUGCAGCCAUGCCGCGUGUAUGAAGAAGGCCUUCGGGUUGUAAAGUACUUUCAGCGGGGAGGAAGGCGAUGUGGUUAAUAACCUUGUCGAUUGACGUUACCCGCAGAAGAAGCACCGGCUAACUCCGUGCCAGCAGCCGCGGUAA